rnacentral:sRNA from 1 species
AUAUAUUUGUAACCUGAAUUCACAUAUUGUAAAGGGUUAUCAUUUGUAAGAUGGAACCUUUUGUAAUGUGUGAAUUUUUUAUUUCAAAUGAAGAUAAAAGAACAUGUUACAAAUCAAACUUUGGAGGUUUUCUCACAUGCAAACAGGUACAGUGAAAUGGUUCAACGCAGAAAAAGGUUUCGGCUUCAUCGAAGUUGAAGGCGGCAGCGACGUAUUCGUACACUUCUCCGCAAUCCAAGGCGACGGCUUCAAAACCCUCGACGAAGGUCAGCGCGUAGAGUUCAACGUAGUUCAAGGCAACCGUGGUCCACAAGCUGAGAACGUUGUAAAGCUGUAAUACCCACAAUGCAAAAGAAAAACUGCCCUUAACCGGUGUUAGGGGCAGUUUU